GCAAGUGUAGUUUGUGAAAUGAAUAUAUACACAAUUAGGGUGCAUGCAAAACGACAAUAGAAAGUGAGUUUAAUAGUUAAGAAAUUGAAUGCAGCACGUUAACCAAGUAAGCACGUUUGGAGGAAGCAAAACGACAAUAGAAAGUGAGUUUAAUAGUUAAGAAAUUGAAUGCAGCACGUUAACCAAGUAAGCACGUUUGGAGGAGAAUGAUUACAGCCCAUGAUGGAGGUCUAAUCCCUAAGUCAGCAUACUGCUUGAGGAGACAUCAAGAGUCUGUCUCUUGAUUUCUGCUAGACAGCUGUGUAGAAG
rnacentral:lncRNA from 1 species